UACGAAGGGGGCUAGCGUUGCUCGGAAUCACUGGGCGUAAAGGGCGCGUAGGCGGCCAUGCGUGUCUUCCGUGAAAUCCCUCGGCUUAACUGAGGACGUGCGGAAGAAACUGCAAGGCUCGAGUCCGGGAGAGGUGAGUGGAACUGCGAGUGUAGAGGUGAAAUUCGUAGAUAUUCGCAAGAACACCAGUGGCGAAGGCGGCUCACUGGCCCGGUACUGACGCUGAGGUGCGAAAGCGUGGGGAGCAAACAGG
rnacentral:rRNA from 1 species